rnacentral:rRNA from 1 species
GACGAACGCUGGCGGCGUGCCUAAUACAUGCAAGUCGAACGCUUCUUUCCUCCCGAGUGCUUGCACUCAAUUGGAAAGAGGAGUGGCGGACGGGUGAGUAACACGUGGGUAACCUACCCAUCAGAGGGGGAUAACACUUGGAAACAGGUGCUAAUACCGCAUAACAGUUUAUGCCGCAUGGCAUAAGAGUGAAAGGCGCUUUCGGGUGUCGCUGAUGGAUGGACCCGCGGUGCAUUAGCUAGUUGGUGAGGCAACGGCUCACCAAGGCCACGAUGCAUAGCCGACCUGAGAGGGUGAUCGGCCACACUGGGACUGAGACACGGCCCAGACUCCUACGGGAGGCAGCAGUAGGGAAUCUUCGGCAAUGGACGAAAGUCUGACCGAGCAACGCCGCGUGAGUGAAGAAGGUUUUCGGAUCGUAAAACUCUGUUGUUAGAGAAGAACAAGGACGUUAGUAACUGAACGUCCCCUGACGGUAUCUAACCAGAAAGCCACGGCUAACUACGUG